GAUGAACGCUGGCGGCGUGCCUAAUACAUGCAAGUCGAGCGAGCAGACGAGGAGCUUGCUCCUCUGACGUUAGCGGCGGACGGGUGAGUAACACGUGGAUAACCUACCUAUAAGACUGGGAUAACUUCGGGAAACCGGAGCUAAUACCGGAUAAUAUAUUGAACCGCAUGGUUCAAUAGUGAAAGACGGUUUUGCUGUCACUUAUAGAUGGAUCCGCGCCGCAUUAGCUAGUUGGUAAGGUAACGGCUUACCAAGGCAACGAUGCGUAGCCGACCUGAGAGGGUGAUCGGCCACACUGGAACUGAGACACGGUCCAGACUCCUACGGGAGGCAGCAGUAGGGAAUCUUCCGCAAUGGGCGAAAGCCUGACGGAGCAACGCCGCGCGAGUGAUGAAGGUCUUCGGAUCGUAAAACUCUGUUAUUAGGGAAGAACAAAUGUGUAAGUAACUAUGCACGUCUUGACGGUACCUAAUCAGAAAGCCACGGCUAACUACGUG
rnacentral:rRNA from 1 species